rnacentral:lncRNA from 1 species
GAAAUCAAUGCAUUAAAAAUCGUAGACACGUACAACCUAAAUGAAAUAUAAAGUAAAAGUGUAUCAAUGGCAGGCAAAACCAUAAACAAAUUCUAGAAUAUCUCAAAACCCGAUGUCACAAGUGCAUGAGCAUCUACUAAAAAGUACAAUAACAAUACAAUAUCUGUCUGGAAUACAAGAUAGACAGAAUAAAGUAAAUAAUUAUGAUAGAGACUAUGUGUAGCGAAUCUUAGCAUGGAAUGCAUCUUACCAUAAAGUCGCCUCAGUAGCUGCACCUACGCACCCAAAUGACCACCAAAUAAACCUGUCAAAUCCUGCACAUUUAGUGCAGAAGUGCAGUAUGAGUACGUAAAUCAACACGUACCCAGUAUGUAUCUAGUCUAACCCUAAAGAGGUAGUGAUAAGGAGAUGACAUUGAUACUUACUAGUGGUCCAGUAGAUCAAAUGUAAUAAAGUAUAAAAGUAUGAAACAUGGUAAAUAAAUAAUGAGAAUAGAUAUAGGAAAAUAGUACGGUCUACAGUUGAACAAUGAACACAAAGUCCUCAACUAUCAGAUACCUCCUCAAAUGGAAUACGUAAUGGUCAAUACUAAACCAACAGUCACAUUUCAAGUCAGGAAACUCAUGAGUAUGCGAAAUCCUGAUUAAGUAUUCCGCACGAUUUUACCGAGGCAAGCAGCCCGAUCCCAUAAAAGUAUUUUAUAGAACUGCCGACACAAAUGACACGAUCCCAUAAGAGUGUUUCAUAGAACUGCCGAGGAAAAUGGCCCGAUCCCAUUAGAGUGGUUCAUAAAAUUAUCGAGGUGAACGACCAUAUCCCAUAAGAAUAUGUUACUCUGCCAAGGAAAAUAGCCCGAUCCAUAAGAGUGUUUCAUAUUGUUGAGGAAAACAACCCGAUCAACAUAAAAAUAUGUUACUUAGAUAAGGCGAACGACACGAUCCCAUAAGAGUAUGUUAAAUGAUACCGCAAAGGCGAACGACCCGAUCCCAUAAAAGUGUAUCACAUUAUACCACCGAGGAGAACGACCCCAUCCCAUAAGAGUGUAUUACAUGAUAUCGUCGAGGCAAAUGGCCUGAUCGCAUAAGAAUAUAUUACAUGAUACCGCCAACGCGAACAGCCCGAUCCCAUAAGAGUAUUGCUGAUGCAUACAGCUCGAUCCUAUUAGAAUAUAAAACUUUUAAAGGUCACUGACCACACUCACGAAUAUAUGUGUGAGUUAUAAAAUUCAAGAAAAACUAUCGGAUGAAUACACACACGCGGAAGAAAUCCGCAAAGGAAAGUACAAUUUCCACAGCUAAUCAAGUAGCUCCUCAAGUAUCUAAAAUAGCAAGUCUGAUACUCUACGCGAGUAUAGUCUCAUANNNNNNNNNNNNNNNNNNNNNNNNNNNNNNNNNNNNNNNNNNNNNNNNNNNNNNNNNNNNNNNNNNNNNNNNNNNNNNNNNNNNNNNNNNNNNNNNNNNNNNNNNNNNNNNNNNNNNNNNNNNNNNNNNNNNNNNNNNNNNNNNNNNNNNNNNNNNNNNNNNNNNNNNNNNNNNNNNNNNNNNNNNNNNNNNNNNNNNNNNNNNNNNNNNNNNNNNNNNNNNNNNNNNNNNNNNNNNNNNNNNNNNNNNNNNNNNNNNNNNNNNNNNNNNNNNNNNNNNNNNNNNNNNNNNNNNNNNNNNNNNNNAAAAUUGAAUUUCUUGAUUCCAUUCUUCACUGCAAGAAUUUCCUUGAAAGUGGAGUGAUAAUAUUUUUCCGCAUCUUUGAACUUUCCGCUUGCAAAUCUACAUAUUUUUCUCUGGCCAUCUUUUAUUUCAAAUAGAACAACAUUCUAGUAUUCAUUGUUGGCAUCAGCUUGCAGUAUUUUCUUACCUUUUGAAGGGAUGUAGAGGGAUUUGACAUCAUUAUAUAUCUACUUUAUUUCCCAGACUAUUUCAUCUUGUUCCUUUCCCCAUGGCGGAGCAUUUUUCUUGAGCAUCUUUGUGAGCAGAGAAAUGUAUGUAGAGAUAUUUGGAAUAAAUCUCUUACAUAAUUUACUACACCCAAGAAUUGUAGGAUCUUCUUUGUUGUGAGGCUGGUAUCAGGAAAUUUGAGUAGCUCCUGACAUAUAUGUGGUCCUGGACUGUAUACACCUUGGACAAAAUGCAUUCCGAGAAAAUCAAUCUCCUUUUGAGCAAGAACCAUCUUUUUUGCUCAAAGAAUGAUCACGUAAUGUGUUACCAAUGCCUCAAAUUGAUGAAGCAAGAUGAUAUGUUCCUCCAAUAUAUUACUAAAUAACAGGAUGUCAUCAAUGUAAACUAAAGAGGUAUGGAGGAUGGGCUGGAAGAUUUUUAUCAUGGCUUUUUUUUGAAAAAGGAGGGGGCAGUUUUUAAUCUGAAGGGAAUGACUUUCUAUUGGAAGUGAUGAUUGGGGAUGCAAAAUCCUGUUUUGGCUCAUUCUUCGGGAUGGAUUCCCAAUUGCCAAAAUGUAGAUUUAAAAUCAAACUUGGAAAAAUAUUUGGCCUUUGCUAAGUGAGAGAAAAGAGAGUUUAUUUGGGAUAUGGAAUUUAUUAUCUUGGAGGAAAUAGUUAAGUGACUGGUAGUUAAUAACUAACCCGAGUUUUCCUCUUGUUUGUCCAGCUCUUUUGUUGACAUAAAAUGUUAUGCUUGCCCAUUGUGAAUCUGAUGGCUCUAUUAGAUCAAAUUCCAAGAGUUUUUCAUCUUCUUUCUUUGCAAGCUAAAGAUUAUAUGGAUUCAUGCAUGAAUGACUGGCUUUUGUUGGAUUGAUAUUUUUAUUCUUCUUGAAAUGGAGCUUGAUAAAAAACUCUUCAUUCUUUCAUAAUGGGAUUUUCCCUUUUUUCAUAAAAUCCUUGUGGGAUUCAACACAUGAAUGCUCAAUAAGAUUUUGUUCAAUCUCCUUGAUUUGUUCGCCAUUGGUGAUUUGGAAUAGCCUUGGAAUUUCAUAAUAAGAUUUGAAUUGCUUCUUAAAGGUUAACCCGUUAGCCCUUAUCUGGAGUUGAUCAUUUAGUUGUCUGAAAAUGUCGAAUCCAACAAUAAGAUAUUUUCUUGGUACACUGAAUCCUAUCAGCUUGGUUCUGUACUUCAAUAUUGGAAAGAACUCAAUUGUGACCGGGUGCUUUGUAAUGACGGUGGUAGUCCGGAUUCCAUUUGAAGCAGUGUUGAAAUCCUUAAAGUAAGGAACCCAUUGUUCUUCAGGGAGAAUAGCAGGAUUCAUGAGUGAACAAACAACUCAAGUGUCAAUGAAAGCAAUGACUCGAGUUGGUUUAUCCUAUUUGGAUGGAUAAACCUUGAGUUCCACUUGAGGGAUUACUAUGAGAGCGUUAAUCUCUUCCUGGGCUUUAGUUGUUGGUUCUGAAUUUUUGUAGUGGUCAUCAUUAUGAUCUUCGUAUAUGUCAAUAGAGAAUAAGGUUUCUUCAGUGGGUUCAUCAUCCAUAGAGAAUAUGGACUUGAGUUCCUCUUUUUUCCGAGAUGUAUGCCAGUGUAAUAUUCAAUCUCUUCGAGGAGUUUGACCAAUUUCCUUGAUUGGGGACAAUUUCUUGCGAAAUGUCUGAUCUUGUGGCAAAUAAAGCAUCUGUUCUUUUCUGAAAAUUUCCUAGCCUCCUUUGUCUGAAAUAUUUUGUGCGCCUCUUGGACCAUGAUUUCCCAUCUAGAGUUCUUGGCCAUCUGAACCUUCUGAAUCCUCUCCGUCACCUAGAUGUGUGGCAGGAACAUCCUGAUUCGGUAAUCAGAUCAGAUUUGCGGCAUGCUUUGUCAAGUGUUGGAAUGUGUUAGAUAAUUUGUUUUAGGGCAGAUCGCUUCAUACAAAUGUCAUCCAAUGUGACGAAAAUAGCUUGCCUGAUGUAGUCGACUUGUGAGAUUGAUAUUGACUGAAACGUUUCUUCAAUGAUGGUCAUGGUUCGUCUUGCCAACAACUUUGGAAGGGAAGAGACAAAGGCUUGCUUCACGUUGAUGUCUCUGUCGAUCUCGAAGUAUAUCUUCACUAUUUUUUAAAAAUGCUUGUCAAUGUCAUUUCUGUCGAAUGACACACACUUCAUCUCGAAUUUUUGUCUCCUCAUCUUUUCUUAUCUUUGGACAGUAUCUCCACAAAAAACUUAAUGUAGGAUUCUAAUUUUGAAGGAAAAGUCCUAGGAAGGAAGAAAGGUAUUUUUGUUUUGAAUCCCAUGUAAGUUCCACCAAUAUCUGAGGAUUCUUGAGAACCAUGAAGUGAGUUCUGACAGGAUGAUAUACUUUUCUCGUUCCACCAGAUUUUUGGUAACCAUCCAAGUAUAGAAGUCUUGGAUCCUUUGAGACCAUUUUAAAACCUUGAUGUCAUCUAAGGUGAAAGUGUAGAAGCCAGUUCCAAUUGGUUUUGAUGCCAUGGGCUCAUAUCUUCUUUAUGGGAUUGGUUCAUAUGUCAUGCCUUCUUGAUACGCAUCUACUUCAUAAAAAAUUGGGUCUCUUGGCUGUUUAAAAUAUUGGGGGAUUGUCUUCUUCGGAAGAGUUCAUUGUGGAUUCAUUGCCUGAUUGAGAGCUAUCUUCCAUUGUAUCCUCGUCUGAUGAAUUUAGUGAUUCCGACCAUGUGGUAUCUCCUUCUGACAUGUUUUUAGGUUGGGUGACAUAGAGGUUUGGAACCUUAUGAUCAGAAAUCAUCAGGUUUUUGGGGUUGGACCCUUUUGAACUUUCUCCAUGAUCUCGCCUUUUUUGGUUUGUUUUUGGGCCGCAAGAGCAUAUUUCCUUUCCUAAACCAUUUUUGCAAUAUCAAAAUCAUGUUCUUGCUUUAAGGGUUGGGUGAAAGAAAUAGGAUUUUGUGAGGUAGUAGGAAAAGUAGAAAAGGUGUAGUCCAAUUUAAGUAGGGAAUAUGCUUGUGGCGACAUAGGGAAGAAGGUAGGUUUUGAAGGGAAAAUUGGGGUCUUUUGUGACACAAAGUGGUCAUUUCUCAAAAGUUAAAUUUGUUUUCCGAUGGAAAUCGUCUCAUUUUGUUGUUGUUGGAAAAUUAGAAAAGUGAAGUUCCUAGCAGACAAAUCUCAUAUUGUAAAUUUGCCAACCUUAGUUCCAAGGCUUUGAUUAGUCCCGCAUGGUGAGGCGAUGUCUGCUCCACCUUUUCCUCAAUUGUUUCCACUUUGCUCGUCAUUUUGUUUUGUGUAUGGGCCACGUUCUUUAUGUGUUGCCAAUGUUUUUCAGCACUUUGUUUUGACAGUUGGAAUUUGCUCAUUUCCAGCUCAUUUUGGCCUCGAUAUCACUAAUUGGGGGGUUUUUCUCCAGUAGCUAGCACUAUAUUUUUCUUGGGAAUUUUUAGAGCAUGGCUUAUACCCUCUUUUUCAAAAGAUUGAAGUGAAGGAAAAUCUUGGGUAUGACUGAGCUUGAAGGGCUUAACAUGAAUAUUUGUGGUUUUGUGGGCUUUGGGGUUUUUUGAGUUGGUAAAGUUUUAGGUUCAGGUGGAUUUUUGGAUUCUGAGGUAUGAGUUGAUGGUAGUUUGGGUUUGGGUGUUAUUUCACUAUCUUCCCAGCUUUGAGUGAAUUUUUCUGGUAAUUUAGGCCAUUCCUGGGGUUUGUAAUUGACAAGAAAUUCGUAUUUAUCCGAACGACUUAGUAAGCCAAUUGAAGGAUCUUUAUUUUCAUAUUUGGCUUGAAAUUGCUUUUCACUAGUUUUCCCUUUUUUCUUGGAUUUUGGUUUGGUAUUGUUGAGGCCAAAUCUUUCCAAAAGAUACAGGUGGUAUUCAUCAUAUUCUCCAAUUGGAUCUUCCAAACAGUCUUGGCAGUCGCAACCAAUAUCCCAAGGGCAGUGUCCGGUAAAGGGGCAUUUGAACCACCAAAAUCUUCUGCCCUCUUUGUCGAAAUGUUGACACCAGUCAUGUUCUUCCAUGAUAGUUUGUAUAUUCCAGAAGGGUUCACUUUCAGGGUUAGGGUCUGUAUCUUUGGAUUUGAUCACUUGGAAAGAAAAGAUGGUUUUAUUGGAUUUUUUGAGAUGGGAAUGGUCAAAGCUUAUGGAAAUGAUUUUGUCAUUUCUUUUAGUAAAAGUGGGCUCACCAGAUUGCAGAGAUUCCUCAGGUUCCCUUAGCUUUUCAUAAUUUGUGAUCCAGGAAUCAGGAAGAAUUUUAUUGAGCUCAUUUCUGGGAGUUUGUCUGGGUAUUUGGGUGCACAUGGUAUUUCCUUUGGUAGCAUCAAUAUUCAAGAGUAAAGCAUUUUCUCCUCCAAGAAGGAAGAGAUCCAUGGCAUGAUUUUGGACCCGCCACACCAUUUGGUGAUGAAGAGUGGCUUGGAUAGCAUCUUUGGCUUGUGGGGCUCCCUAGAUUUGGAUUUGGAUUUUUAAUGCUUUGAUUAGGUAUGGGUCAUGAAGAGACAUGUUAAAAUUUGGAAAGAUAGUUAUGAAGACAUUCCCAUCAUUCAAGGUAACUUUUGCAGUACCCAAAUUUGCAUGUUGGUACUCAUAGUAUCUUGUAUCUAUAAGAGAGAGUCGAGCAACAAUGGGUUGACCUUUUCUUCCCUGAUAUGUUAAAGCAAUUCGGAUAGCACCAAAAUGGAUAUGGGUAAAUCCAUGAUUUCUCCAUUAUCUAUAAAAAUCAUCUGAGAUUUGAAGGGUGAUAAAUUGUUCUUCUCGAGUGGCAAGACUAGGAUGUUGGUCAAGUUUUGAGGCAGCAACAUAUUCUUUGACUCAUUUUGGUCUUUGUUAGACUAGGUAAUGAAUUUGGGUCUAUGGUGCAAAUUAUGUUUUUGCAAAAGCUGAGCAAGGGUUUAUGAGGGGUAGUUCAGUGGAGGUUACUUUCUGUUCGUCAGGUAGGAUAUCUACUUCAUAGAUGUAAUCAUAUUUUUUGGAAAAAGUUUUAUAUAGAGUAGGGGACAUAUUCAACUUUGCAAAGGAAGAGGAUGAUGGAAACAACUCAGACAUAUUUAGUAAAUUGUUCCUCUAGCCAAAAGAAUGGGCUAGCUCUGAUACCACAGUAUAAAGAAUUGAGCAAGAGACUCCAAGAAAGCAAACUAAAUCAUAGAUACGAAAGUUUCCCUACAUCACCACCCGGUAUGAUAUUGAAUAGAAAUAUCAUAGUAGGUAGAGGUGCACCCGUUCUGAGUUUCGGGCAUUCCCUCACCAUAUGACGGGUAUCACCACACUCAAAGCAGGACGCAGCUGAUGAAACUCACUCGGGCUUGGUUGACUAGACUGACCAUUGAAAGCACCCUAUGCUGAAGGUACACUAGACAGUGGCGGUGCAUAAUGAGCAACCUGAGGCCUAAGAGUAGCGCGAGUACCACUAUAAGUUGGAAGUGUUGAAUGAACUGGACGGCUCAUAUAGCCUCUACCAUGAAGGGCUAUAACUAGAGAACGAGCACCAUUAUAUCCGCCAGAAUCUCGAGGCCUCAUGGCCUCCAUAUCCUCCCUCUCCCAGCCUCGCAUACCCUCUAAUCUCCAUGCGAUAUUACCACCUGCUGGUAUGGAGUGUCUAUCUCCAACUCUCAAGCUAUGCUAAAUCUAAUACCAUAGUUGAGCCCCUCGAUAAAUCGACAAACUCGCUCUAUAAUUGUGGAAACAAAGGUAGGUGCAUGUCUGGACAACUCACUGAAUCUGACAGCAUACUCUAGCACAGUCAUAGGACCCUGGCAUAGCUGUUCAAACUUUGGGCGCCAUGCAUCUCGAAAACUCUGGGGAACAAACUCUCUCAAGAAUAUCUCUGAAAACUGAGCCCAUGUGAUUGAAGCUGCCUCGGCUGGCUUACCCUCCUCAUAAGACUACUACCACUAGUAUGCCAGUUCCGACAGCUAAAAAGUAGUGAAAGCAACCCUGCUCGUCUCCACUCUACCCAUACGGUGGAACUUCUACAAAAAACCCUAUGCAUCCUCUGUAGCUAGGCCGCUGAAAGUAGGAGGAUGUUACUUCUUGUACCUCUCAAGUCGGAGUUGCUCUCCUCAGAUAUUGCUGCCCUAACCUUAGGCUGAACUGGGACGACCGGAUGCACUAGUAUAGCCUCUAGGCCCUGAUCAAUAUGGAAUCGCUGAUCUGGGUAUGAGUUGUGGGAGUAUGAGCUUCUCCCCCAGCCUGAGAUGUGGCGGGUGCAAGUGUAAUCAACCCCACCUGAGCUAGAGUACCAAACAUGCUCAAGAAUUGUAUGAGGGUCUCCUGAAUUGCAGGGGUGGAAACAUACACCUCAAGUUCCUGCCCCACAACUGGAGCAACUGAUGGCUCCUCUGUUGCAGCUUGGGCAGGUGCUCUAGCUACUCAACGUUCCCUUCCUCGACCUCUGCUCCGCCCCCUCCCCAGCCUCUUGCAGCUCUAGUAGGGGGCGUGUGUGUCUAAUCGUUGAAUUUAGCAGUGCAUGUCCUCACCAUCUGUAAAAGGACAGAAAGACAAUGAUUCAUAAUUUCGAAGUCACUAAAUUCACACGAUAAGGAGUCAAAGAAGUGAAGUUUCCUAACAGUACCAUUGCCCCUCGUAGAUAAGUAUAGAUAUCUUAGUACCGAUCCGCGAGACUCUACUAAAUCUUGUUAUGACUCGUAACACCUAUGAACCUAGAGCUCUGAUACCAACUUGUCACGACCCCAAUCUCCCUCUGUAGGAUGUUGUAAUGGCACCUAAUCUCUAACACUAGGUAAGCCUAACAUAUAUGAAGAAUUUAACGGAAACAAUAAUAAAACUUCCAAUUUAAACCAAUAGCUAUCAUAGAAAGGACUCCGCAAUCCAACUGAACCUAACUCCCUAAAUCUUGUAAUACCGAGUCACAAGCUUUACACGAGUAUACUUAACAUCCCAUAAUUUAUGAAAAGGAGAACGAAAUAGAAACUAGAUAGAGGGUGACUCCGAGACCUGCAAAUGCCGGUAGGUAUACCUUGAAGUCUAUGAUCCAAGCCCGACUCACGGAUGCCUAGGCUAGUAUGAAGUACUUGGAUCUGCACAAAAAGAUGUGCAGAAGUGUAGUAUGAGUACGCCACAAUGGUACCCAGUAAGUAUCAAGCCUAACCUCGAUAGAGUUAUGAUGAGGUCAGGUCAAGAAACCUACUGGAAUAAAUAAACAAAAUGAACAAGUAUAGUGUAGUAUGAUAAUGAAAACAAGGAAAUGAUAUAAGGAAGAAAUAUAACAAGAAUACCUACACUGAGACUAAGGUAAUUAAGACAUCAUGGAAGAAACACAUAAUAAGAAUGCCAAGGAACUGAUGCAAAUAAAACACAAGUGAUAUAACUGAAAGGUAUCAACCAGAAUCACUACUGAGGUACCGCCUCGUAGUCUCAUUUCACAAUUCAAAUUACAAUCUUUCCUUAUACACUACGGGAGCCUUGAAUUUUCCCGAAAUAGCUACCCGCGUCUUAGCCCACCUUAUCACACCGCGUGGAUUCAAGUAAUUCCCCUACUAGCAACACGCAUAUCAAGCUCACCUUAUCUCACUGCAUACAUUUUAACCCCAAUCCAUAUACCAACGCAUGCAUAUUCAUAUCACAACACAUCACAAAUCGCGCCUCAAAUGCUCAAUACUACAACUUUCUAAAGAAGUCAACAAUAAUAGUAUUUUCACAAUAAAUAGCCCAUGGCUAAACCACAAUAUGUACAAGAGUCUUAACAAUAGCAACCAAAAAUGAAUAACUCAACAAGAAUGGUAUUUCAACAAAUUUACAAUUUUGCCUCAAUGUGAAUCACGACCUUUAUAACUUCAACACCAUAAUUCAACAAUAAGAUCUUCCAAGAAAUAACAAAUUCAAGUAAAGGAACUAUGUCAAGUAAAUCACGUAAGGAUAGGUUAACGAUUAUGAAGAUAACAUGUUAUGACAAUUUAAUUAAAGGCAUGAAAGAAUCUACGUAGCUCAAGCCGGUGAAUUACCACAUUUAGCCUGUGUACCCACUCGUCACCUUGCGUACACAGUUUUCAUAUACCACAAUUAACACAAAACAACACCAAUCCUAAGGGGUAAUUCCCCACACAAAGUUAGGCAAUGCACUUACUUAAAAACACGCUAACUCAAUCCACUACUAAGCCUUUUCCACGAUUAUCCAACUCCGAACGACUCGAAUCUAGCCAAAAUAGCAUUAUGCCAUAAACACAAACCAUAAAAAAUUAUUCCGAAUAAUAAAGGUGCAAUCUUUAAAGAAUAUCAAAAAUUCAACUUAAAAAGUCAACCCCGUACUUGCAUCUCGGAACCCGGCCAAACGUAUGAAAUCCCAACACUCAUUCGAUAAUGAGUCCAACCAAACUAGAAUUAUUCAAAUAUGAACUCAAAUUGCCAAAAUUUGGUCUAUCAAGUUUCAAAAAAAUUUCCCAAAUUUUCCAACUCAAAACACUAAUUAAAUUACAAAAACACGACGGAUUCAUGUACAAUAGCCAAAUCCGAGUUAGAAUCACUUACCCCGAUGAAUUCAUUGAAAAUCCCUCUAAAAAUCCCCAAAAACCGAGCUCUCUAGGGAAAAAAGAUGAAGAAUGAAACAAAACCCUUGUUUUUGAAAUUUAACACUGCUACCCAGUUAUCCUAUCUCACGAUCGCAGACAAAAGACUCGCGAUAGUGGAGAACAAAUCUCCUCAGCUCAAAAAAAGACAAUAUGCUAUCGUAUGACUAUAGUCAUGAACGCGAUGGCAGGAGCUGCCAAGGUUACACGAUUGCGGACAACACCACGUGAAAGUGAAAGAACAACGCAAGCCUCAGCACCGACUCGCCUUCUUUAUAUGCGAAUACGUUCAUAUCCAUGCAGUCACGAUGCACAAGCUCCCAAACCUUCGCGAUCAAACCAUCCCAGCAGUCCCUAAGGAUUCUACGUGAUCAUAGGAGAACCUUCGCGAACGCAUAGAAGGAAACUAGAACAGAAAAACCAGCAGUCCUAGUUCAAGAGCAAAUGGUCUGAACUCAAUCCGAAACACGUUCGGGCCCUCCGGGACCCCGUCCAAACAUACCAACAAGUCCUAAAACAUGAUACAAACUCGCUCGAAGCCUCAAAUCAUAUUAAGCAAUACUAAAACCACAAAUUGUACAUCGAUUCAAGCCUAAUGAACUCAUGAAUCCCUAACUCCUAAAUUAAUGUUGAAACAUAACAAACAAACCCCAAUUGACCUCAAAUUUCGCACACAAGUCAAAAUUGACAUAACUGACCUAUUCCAACUUUUGAAUCCAAAAUCUGGACCCGAUAUCAAUAAAUUCAACUCCCGGUCAAACUUCUCAACCUUCCAAACCUUCAACUUUUCAACUUUCGCCAAUUCAAGCCAAAAAGACCUACGGACCUCCAAAUCAAUAUUCGAACAUCCUCCCACGUUCAAAAUUACCAUACGGAACUAUUGAAAUCGUCAAAACUCCUUUCUGAAGUUGUCUACACAAUAUUCAAAUUCUGGUCAACUCUUUCAACUUAAACUUUCAACUUUUGGAUUAAGUGUCUCAUUUUUCACUCUGAAACUCGCCCGAACGAAAACCAAACAUCCCGGCAAGUCACAUAACCAUAAUAGAAUAUAGAGGAGGAAAUAAAUAGGAGAAUGGGACUAAAAUACUCCAAAUGACCAGCCGAGUCAAUACAAUGUCUUUACUCUAUUUUGACAUAACAUUAAUUCUAUUUUAUUCUUAAUCGCAAGCAUUUGUUACAAUUUCAUUUGGGCUUUACAUUGAUUUUAUCUGCAUUUAAAUGUUAUGUUGGGCCUUGUCACUAAUGUUUGCCUUUCUAUUUUGCACAUGUGAUCAAAAUGGGCCUGUUGAGUUCUCAAGAACUCAGGUUCAAGUUCUAGCCUCACGUCUGAAGUCAUUGAAGUUGUUGCUACUAUUCGUUUUCCAUUGGGCCUGACAUUCUUUAGGCCCAAACCAUGAGUCCAAUUCCCUUUGUUUUAUCGCUUUUAUAUAAAUUUGUUGUUGUUUCUAUGUAUAUAUAACACUGAUAAUAUUGAGAGAAUGAUUUUCUCUUGUAUCAUUUUUUAAUUAUUUUAGAAACUUAGGCAAGUUGAAAAAUCAUAAGUAAUAUCAAAAGGAAUGGCAAUCUCUUCAAUCAGUUAAAUAACUUCAACUUAUUUAAUUAUUUCUAUUAUACAAUUUUCACUUUCAUCUCUACUAACCGUUUUUUCAUGAAUUUUUGAAGUUCAAAACAGAUUUGAAAAGUCGACAAUCAUCUUUCUUUAAAAGCCAGAAUUGGGCAGAUAAUUUCAAAGUCGAGUUAUCUACAAAACAAAUGAACACAAUUGCGAUCAAAGAACUUCAAACGAUGUUCUUCUAAACUUGGAUGCAGAAUAUGGAAGAGUUUUCAAGGUAUAUCUAAACCCAUUUCUCCAAUAACUCUUAUUUCACUACAGCUACAGAAAUAGCCAUUUUGUUUCACAAGUAAAAAGUAUUUUUAAACCUAGCCAUACUUAUAAAGUUUACAAAUAAAGCCUUAUAGUCCUACUUUCAAAAGUUCUUUCAAUCACGUAAAUAUGAACACUUUUCAAGGCUUUUACAAAUGAAAACUACACUCUCCUUUCAAAAUUGCAUACAUCAUUUUCAAGUGAUAAGUUUUAGUCAUGACAUAGAGUAAGCUACAUAUUUUUAAGCACUAACCAGUAGAAUAUAGACAUUUAAUUUCCUAAACCUAGUCUAAGUCCUAUGGUGCUACCUUAGGUAUAUUCUAGGAGGUGCGUAACACCUUCCCCUUAGAAGAACAAGAACCCUUACCCAAAUUUCACUGGUUAGCAGACCAAUAAAUAAUAAUUUAAUAAUUGAAUAGGUAUCGUAGUAUACCUAUAAAUAUUAUAUGGCGACUCUUUUUCAUCAUCAAUAGGGACACUACUAGUUCAAUCUUACUUUGACUCGUGCAAAAUAUGGUGCAACAACAAUGUCCUACUCUGGAGUGUGAUUAGAUGAGGUUUGGGCUCCCUCUCCAGCCUGAGAAGUGUCUACGACCGCAAGAAUUAUCUGUACAUGUGUUAAACCUCAAAAUAACUCAAAAUUUGGACCAUGGUUUCCUUAAGCACUAGAAUAGCAAUAAAACCUUGGGAACUUGUGUUGGACCGAUUGGAACAACCUGAUCUACCACUGGAGCUAGGUGGCUCCUCAGAAGCAUCUAUUGUACGUGCACGAGUAAUUGCGGGUGCUCCACCUCUUAGGGGUGCUGCCAUACAUACCUUGGUCUGAGAUCCAGCCCUACCUGAGCCCUGCCUCCUCUAGAUCCGGCCUAGGGUAUUGGCUUCUGCUUAACCGUUACGGAUGCAUGUGGCCUCACCUUCUAUAAGAGAAUAGAAGAGUAAGGUUCAAACACUAAGAUAAAACAAGGGACGCACAAUAAGGAAAGAAAGAAGGAAAUUUUCCUAAAUCCCUGUCACACCUCCUUUUUACCCGCCCGUGAGGGAUAUAAGGGAGUUUUUCCAAUUAAAGUGACAUUAAUCGAAAUGGGAUUAAUUAAUUUAUUUUUUAGAGUCGCCACUUGGAAUAGUUUAUUAUCGUGUCCCAAGUCACCGGUUUAUUAUAAAAUCCCCAGUCGAGGAAAUUUUCGACUUUAUUUAAAAGUCUGCGAACCAGAAAUUCUAAGUAAGGAAUUUUGUUAACCUGGGAGAAGGUGUUAGGCAUUUCCGAGUUCCGUGGUUCUAGCACGGUCGCUUAAACUAUUAAUAAUUGGCUUAUUAUCUGAUUUACUACACAUUUUAAACCUAUUGUGCAUUUUUAACUUUAUAACCGCCUUUUAAUUAUUUUAUGGAAUUAUUCUGGAACAAGUUACGAUUGUUGUACACUUGUUUGUGUGAUACACAUUGCGAAUUAUGUCACGGGAACCGUACCCACGAUCUACAAUAUGUCUAAUUUAUUAAAGUUAUUAGAAGGUGUGGCCAGGUCACAUAAAUGUACCUCCGGAUUUGGAAAUUAGGUAUCACAGCUAAGUCAUGGGAACCAUACCCGUAGCUAUGAUGAUUUUAUUAUAAACGCGCCUAAAGCAAACUACGAGUGUUUAAAAAGGUGUCUUUCCAUACUAAGUUAAUAUUAAUGUGAGGGCCAUAGGUUAUGGCUUUUAUUUGUGUAUGGCACACCGCAAUUUAUUUUUGAAAGAAAAGAUUUGUAUUUUUGUAAGGCAAACUAAAGAUGCUCCUACUUUAAUCUAAUUUAAAAUUAGGUAUCACAACCACGUCACAGGAAUUGUGCCCGUAGUUGUAUUAAUUUAAUUGCGUGCAUAAAGCAAACUACAGUGUUUCAAAUUUGUGAUUCAUAGCCAAUUUGGGAUUGUUGUGAAUGCUCUGACUUAUGGACUUGACUUAUUUGGGAAGAAAAACAUACUAAUACUACGGAGAAAAGACAAAUCUAGGAUGCAUUACUGCAUGGAGUAUGAAUUUUUCAACACAUUUUGAAAGGAAGAAAAAAAAGCCAUGUUAAUUAGUUAGGUUUGUUCGUGUUCCACUUGAUUUCCACAUCAAUUUUAUUUUUUAUUUUUUUAUUUUUACAACAAAAAAGUUCAAAGAACUUUGCCACACAUGCCUAAGAUAAAUAUAUUUAAUUAACAAUGCUACAAAAUAUAUAUUAUAACAUGAAGCAACAUUUCAAAUGGUAAUCACCAAAUAUACAAGUAUUUAGACGUCUCUGUGAGUGAAGAAAGCACAUGUUCCUUUUAAUUCAGAUGCCAAAAAAAAAAACGAACAUCUCGAGGUAUCCUGGGAACAGAAAUUGGAAUAACUGACAUGAACAGAUCUUUUCAACAUAUAUACUGGGACAGCCUCAAGCAGCAAAGUUAAAAUCAAGUAGGCUCCUUAUUCAUAUGUAAACUCAAAGCAAUUAAAUACUAAUAUUCCCACCAAUCAAAUAUCAAAUCAGUGAUCAUAGAGUCAUAUCGAACUAUAAUCCGACAUGUCCAAACCAAGCAGAUUCAUAAAUUUAUAUGCUUGUCCAAAGUGAAGCAACAGAUUUAACAAAAUGACAUGGAAAAACUGGAGCCAAAUCAAAUCAGUAUUUUAUGCAUUCAAAACUAGCAACAAUCAGAAAAUUAGAAGUGUACCUACCUUGUAUUUUAAAAGAAACGAAGGAAAAGCGAAACGAAGCUCAACAGCAAUUUCCCGUCCACAACAAACAACAAUCGCAGCAAGACAACUCCAAUUAGAGCUUCGAUAACUUGGAUCCUAAAUAAGAUACGGGCAUCGAGAGAAGAGUUCCAAUCAAGGGCAGCCACAAUAGCUCGAGCUACAUCGCUUGCUAUACCAUUUUCCUCUAUCUUUUUUAGCUGUUAAUUAAUGCUUCAAUAGAUUCUUGAAGUUGUACAUUAUUCACCUUUGAAAAGGGUUUUAAAAGGAAGAAAGAAAAAAUUGGAAAGAGGGUUUUAAGCAAAUAUGUCAGUUAUUUGCACUCUGCGAUGGUGGACAGAGUGGGGAUAGAGGAAAGGUGCUUCAUCUUUUUUGGGCUAUAAUUUGUGUGUCGUGUGGAGAAAAUGAAGAAGAAGAAAGAGAGGUCUAAUCUUUUUUGUGGAAACAACGCUGAGGGGG